UGAGAAAUAGACUUAAAUCUCUCUGAAAUA
rnacentral:piRNA from 1 species